rnacentral:rRNA from 1 species
GACGAACGCUGGCGGCGUGCUUAACACAUGCAAGUCGAACGGAAAGGCCCUGCUUUUGUGGGGUGCUCGAGUGGCGAACGGGUGAGUAACACGUGAGUAACCUGCCCUUGACUUUGGAUAACUUCCGGAAACUGGGGCUAAUACCGGAUAGGAGCUCCUGCUGCAUGGUGGGGGGUGGAAAGUUUCGGCGGUUGGGGAUGGACUCGCGGCUUAUCAGCUUGUUGGUGGGGUAGUGGCUUACCAAGGCUUUGACGGGUAGCCGGCCUGAGAGGGUGACCGGCCACAUUGGGACUGAGAUACGGCCCAGACUCCUACGGGAGGCAGCAGUGGGGAAUAUUGCACAAUGGGCGGAAGCCUGAUGCAGCAACGCCGCGUGCGGGAUGACGGCCUUCGGGUUGUAAACCGCUUUCGCCUGUGACGAAGCGUGAGUGACGGUAAUGGGUAAAGAAGCACCGGCUAACUACGUG